rnacentral:rRNA from 1 species
UCUUCGGAUCUAGUGGCGCACGGGUGCGUAACGCGUGGGAAUCUGCCCUUGGGUUCGGAAUAACUUCUGGAAACGGAAGCUAAUGCCGGAUGAUGACGUAAGUCCAAAGAUUUAUCGCCCAAGGAUGAGCCCGCGUAGGAUUAGCUAGUUGGUGGGGUAAAGGCCCACCAAGGCGACGAUCCUUAGCUGGUCUGAGAGGAUGAUCAGCCACACUGGGACUGAGACACGGCCCAGACUCCUACGGGAGGCAGCAGUAGGGAAUAUUGGACAAUGGGCGAAAGCCUGAUCCAGCAAUGCCGCGUGAGUGAUGAAGGCCUUAGGGUUGUAAAGCUCUUUUACCCGGGAUGAUAAUGACAGUACCGGGAGAAUAAGCUCCGGCUAACUCCGUGCCAGCAGCCGCGGUAAUACGGAGGGAGCUAGCGUUGUUCGGAAUUACUGGGCGUAAAGCGCACGUAGGCGGCUAUUCAAGUCAGAGGUGAAAGCCCGGGGCUCAANCCCGGAACUGCCUUUGAAACUAGAUAGCUUGAAUCCAGGAGAGGUGAGUGGAAUUCC